rnacentral:rRNA from 1 species
GACGAACGCUGGCGGCGUGCUUAACACAUGCAAGUCGAACGGAAAGGCCCUGCUUUUGUGGGGUGCUCGAGUGGCGAACGGGUGAGUAACACGUGAGUAACCUGCCCUUGACUUUGGGAUAACUUCAGGAAACUGGGGCUAAUACCGGAUAGGAGCUCCUGCUGCAUGGUGGGGGUUGGAAAGUUUCGGCGGUUGGGGAUGGACUCGCGGGUUAUCAGCUUGUUGGUGGGGUAGUGGCUUACCAAGGCAUUGACGGGUAGCCGGCCUGAGAGGGUGACCGGCCACAUUGGGACUGGGAAACGGCCCAGUAUCCUACGGGGGGCAGCAGUGGGAGAUAUUGCACAAUGGGCGGAAGCCUGAUGCAGCAGCGCCGCGUGCGGGAUGACGGCCUUCGGGUUGUAAACCGCUUUCGCCUGUGACGAAGCGUGAGUGACGGUAAUGGAUAAAUAAGCACCGGCUAACUACGUG